rnacentral:lncRNA from 1 species
AAUUACCGCCAUCUAUUCAUCAUUAUAGCCGCCCUCGAAACUCGCUUUGAUGGGACGGUUCGACGCGACAGCCUUUUCUUCUUCACCAGGCUUCUCAUUCUUUUUUAUAGCUUUUUGUCAUCAGGCUUCAUCAUUUUCGCCCUCUAUCUUUCUUCAUUUUCUUCGCCUUCUCUGUUUCUCUUCGCCUCCUCCAUUCUCCAUCUCUCGUUCAUAGCUUCUGCUCAUUCUCUUCUUCCUUAGCUCCUUUUCG